GUAUGUUGACGUAUUCUGAAAGGGAUACUCUUCGGACAAUAUACAAGGUGCUGCAUGGUUGUCGUCAGCUCGUGCCGUGAGGUGUCGGGUUAAGUCCCAUAACGAGCGCAACCCUAUCAUUAGUUGCCAUCAGGUCAAGCUGGGGACUCUAAUGAAACUGCCUACGCAAGUAGUGAGGAAGGUGGGGAUGACGUCAAAUCAGCACGGCCCUUACGUCCAGGGCUACACACGUGCUACAAUGGCCGGUACAAAGGGCAGCUACCUGGUGACAGGAUGCUAAUACUCAAAAGCCGGUCUCAGUUCGGAUCGGAGUCUGCAACCCGACUCCGUGAAGCUGGAAUCGCUAGUAAUCGCGCAUCAGCCAUGGCGCGGUGAAUACGUUCCCGGGCCUU
rnacentral:rRNA from 1 species